UCGCCCCCACCCCCCUCCCUCCAUCUCUCUCUCUCUCUCUCUCUCUCUCUCUCUCGAGAGAGAGAGAGAGAGAGAGAGAGAGAUACACUCUUCGCCAACGUAGCAGCAUCACGCAGCUCCAUCCGCCGAAAGACUCGAAAAGAAAGAUAUAACUAACGAAGAAUAACGUUUGUCUGUGGAAGAGGAGCGAGCGAGUCGAAGAAAAUUCCCCAGCUCUGAAAUAAUCCUCGUUUCUUACGCGAGGAACGAUCGAGUCUUCGUUAUUAGAAUUAUUAGCGACCACGCCCCGAGUCCGACGUGUUUGAACUGCCAAAGUGCAGAGAGCCAGGGUCUCCCUACGUACUCCACGAGUUCGAGAACGAAUAGAAGGUAAAGAAGAAGAAGAAGAAGAAGAAGAAGAAGAAGAAGAAGAAGAAGAAGAAGAAGAAGAAGAACAAGAAGUAGAAGAAGGAGGAAGAGAAAAGGGAAGGCUCGGAAAGUCGAAGGAGAAGGUGGAGCGUUUGCUUUUGGUCAGCUUUUGUGCGAGAAGGAGCAGCCGGCCGGCGUCUAAGUCCGCAAACAUUUUGCGUGUCAAUAUUUGACGGAGCGUUUAGGAUGUCUGCCAUCGUCGUCGUCGUCGUCGUCGUCGUCGUCUACGUCGAGCUUAAAAAAAGAAAAAAAAAGGGAAAGACUUCCCGCACCUUUCAUAGAUAUAUUUUGAUUAGCUUCCUCCCCGUUUCUUUCGAGCUGCCCUUCACUUUCCCUUCUCUUCCCAUUUAUUUUCUUUCUCGUUACAUCUCAUUUUCGUUUUUGUUUUUAAUUACAAUCUUUUUUUCUCUAUGUCCAUCGUUAGAGAGAAAACGCGCGCGCGCAAAAGAAGGGACGGCAGGUGCAUCGAGAACUCACGAGAGCAUCUUCUUUUCUCCCGGUAUCCUUCUCUUCCUCCUCCUUUUUCUGGGGUCAUAACCGAGACUGCUGGCUUGCAACGAGCGAAUCUCCUCCUUUUGCACACGCACGUGCACGCGCGUGUACUGGGCCGACAGUGCGAGUGGACUUGCAGGACGAUGACGACGACAACGAAGAGAAAGAAAGAGAAAGAGUGAGAGAAAAUAAGAGACAGAAAGAGAGGGAGAAAGAAUACGAAAGAUGGAGAAUAAAAAAGAGAGGGAAAGGAGAGUAUGAGAGAGAGAGAGAGAGAGAAGUUACGAUGGUGCAGCGCAUGCAGCGCACCAGACAAAAAACGAUGAGCUACGGUGGGGGCCAGACGGGGGACAAAAACACGCGACGGGCCCCAAACCCACUUGCGAGCGACUCCCUUACACCGAGUCCUGCACACACACAUACAUAUACACAGGCAUGCAGAGGGAGGGAGGGAGGGAGAGAGAGAGAGAGAGACACACAGACGGACCGUAGAAGCGUGUCUUUGUACGUGCAGUUUAAGCCUCUUGCAUGCCUGCAUCCGAGGAUCGCAUGCAGCAUGGGUAGAAAAGGGCGAACGAACGAGCGAAAGCAGUCGGAGCCCUUUCCAACGUCGAAAUGACCCAUCAAGGACGACGACGACGACGACGACGACGACGACGACGACGAGGUUCCUACUCCUCGAAUUUUCUUUUGCCCGUAAUCGAGAUAUCGAUCGGAACGAAUAUUUUCUAUUCUCGUUUCGUUGAAUAUUAUUGUAAACGUUAGCGUCGACGGUAGUUUGAGAGGAUCUACAUUUAAUCUAACAAAUAUUCCCUUUCUUACAGUCCCUAUUUUUUCCCGUAAAUUUUAAGUUCGACAGGUGGGCGUCGCGUUUUGCGUCGCAAAUGUCGCAGGUGCAACCUUUUGAUACCUUCCCCUUCAAAAUAUGUUGAAAAGUAUAUCGUUGAAAAAAAUACUAUUUAUACUGCUUUAUCCUGCGGUACAAUAAAAAAUAAAUAAAUAAAUAUAUAUAUACAUAUAUGUACAUACGUAUCUAUUUAAAAAAAAAGACAUUUCUCGGACGAACGAGCCGAAGAAAUUUCUUUAAUAGGGUCAUACAUACGAUUCGGUCGGCUUAAGUUUAGAAGGAAAAAAGGUAAAGGAUAAAAGUGUAUUCGAUGGUUAAAAAUAAAUUAAAGAAUAAAGAACGAAUCUAAGGGAUUUCCACGGCUCGGGUGAAUGCGUCGAGUCACUUUUAAUACGCUUAUCUGUAUUAUUGACGGGUCGCUCGGCUUCGUCGGAGAUUAAAGCGGCGCAAUCUUUAAACGGAUUUUCAACGUUCGAACGUGAACGAGACAAGACGAGACGAGACGAGACGAGACGAGACGACGAAGGACUCGCCGAAAGGUUUCCACGCCUAUGAGGAGACCGAGGGAUAGACACGUGUUUGACCCGAGUCGACGACGUGGCCAUCCAUGUACGAAGGGCAGAGUGGAAUCCGACCGAAAUGAAAACCGGAUUUUACCUUGGUUUUCACUUCAUUCCAAGUAAGGACCAUUCGCUCCACGACGACGACGACGACGACGUUCUCUGUUCCUCUAAUCUCUCGUCUAACUAUCAACGAAUUAGAGAAGAAAAGAAAAUAGAAAAAGCGAUAAUAAGAAUAGCUGUUUAUUCGUCGAGAUGGUCUAUGCGAAAUUAAAAAACAUAAAGAAAAAAUGGGGAAAGAAAGGAAGGCUUGUUAAAACGUGGCAUUCUUCGAUAAUGCGAGCCGAGUUGACUAACUCUCCUACGUCAUCCGUCUCUUUCUUGUCUAGCCAGGCCUACUCGGCGUGCUCUUUGUCCUGUGACCUAGAUAGGAAAGCCAGCGUGAAGCAGGAGAAGAGCGUUCAACGAUCCAAAGAGAGAGAGAGAAGAGACAAAGAGGGGAUGAGAGGGAGGGAGAAAAAGAGAGACAGUCAGAUAACAUGCCUUCUACGAAUGGUCGCGUAAACAAAUGAAUAUGCGGAUAAACAUACGCGCGUACUUGAAUAGAUUUCGAUCGAAACAAUAUUUUUUCUCAUCAUCCUAGAUCAGUAUCGAAAGAAAGGGAGGAGGUCGAACUCAAAGACGAAUAAAAAGGAAGAGUACGAUGAUGGUCGCGAUCAUUAAUUGAUUUUCAGUACCGUUAAACGCCGACGCCAUCGAUGCCGCCAGGCUCGCACAAACUCGGACGCUGAAUGAAAGAAGAGAAAGAAAAAGAAGAGAAAGAAAAAGAUGGAAGAGAAUGUGGAUAACGAAGCAGGAGAAACGAGAUGGCUGGUACUGUUGCACGCGUCGCUGAUUUCGAGGCUAACCUUUCCGCAGCUCACGAACAUUUCUCGCGAGCGGUACUCUCGAGACGAACCUAACGGACCAAGGACGAGCCUUCUUUUCUCUUUUUCGUCCUCAUCAGCAUCCUCGUUAUUACUUCUAAUCGCAUAUGACUCUCGCUCUCUCUCUCUCUCUCUUUUUCUCUGCCGUAUCUUCGACUUUUUUUUGCAAUUCUAUUUAUGAAUAAAUCCGAGUUCAUAAACCCGAGUAAAAAAUAAAAUAGAAAAAUAAAUAUUUAUAGCUUCUUUCUCUUUCUCCUCUUUUAUGUGCAACCAUAGUAUGCAUAAGAAAAAAAGCAAUCUAUGAAUGAAAUUCGCGCUAAAUGCGUCGUUCGAUAUUCAAAAUUCAGGCGUGUGUGUGUGUGAGAGAGAGAGAGAGGAGAAGGCGUCGUUUGUACGAUUGAAGAGGCCAGAAACAUGGCAUGAUCGUUGUCGUUGAGGAAGGAAAGGACGUUAGACGAAUGUCGUCGUCGUCGUCGUCGUCGUCGUCGUCGUCGUCGUCGUCGUCGUCGUCGUCAUGGUUGUCCUCCAUUGUCCUGGCUCUGCAUGGCUCUCCUCGUUAAAGCGUCCUUAACGAUCGCUCCUUCAACGACGAGUCCUGCCUGUCGUCGAAAUCGUCGUAUCGUCGAUCUUAACGAGACUCCUAGUUUAUCUUCCAGCCACGCUCCUCGUCUCUGACUCGUGAGAGCCAACCCAAAUCGAUUCAUCGCUAUCAUUGAAGUUUUAUUCGGAGAACAUCGUCAACAACAAUUUUCCUAAGAGUUUUAUCGCCGACUUUUUUACGAAAUCGCAAAAAUUCCUCGAUCUCCAAAGGGAGAAGAAAAUGAAAGGACAUUUUCUGAACAUAGUACCCCAAUGAGACCUUUGGAGCGGGGAUGGUCCGUGAUGGUCGAGGAGAGAAAGGGAAAAAAAGAAUAGGAAAGGAGAGGAAAGAAAAGAAAAGAAAAGAAAAGAAAAGAAAAGAAAAGAAAAGAAAAGAAAAGAAAAGAAAGGAAAGGAAAAGAAAAGAAGAGAGAGAGAGAGAGAGAGAGAGAGAAAAGGAGCGAGGAAAAAAGGAAGUAUAAGAAUACAGAACGGUGCUGUGCAUAUGUGGGUGGGCAUUCUUCGUGUAGAGGAGUGAAGAGGGUAAGUUGAGAAAGAGAGGUGGUACUACCAGAUUGCAAGAAGCCGAGGCUGGCCAAGGCCAGAACGUCGCGGAGCCGAGCCGGAUUAUUUUUAGCGCUUCCUACUAUUGUGCAAAGCACAAGUAGUCUGUCAAGCGUCUAGGGAUUCGCUUUAACGGGGGAGUCCACCGUUAGAUUUUACACUCCCCUCCCUGCUCCUUUUUUACGACGAGUAGUCACUACUACUCGAUCCAUCGAUGAUGACUGCCGUUCGCUAUAGAUAAGCUGAAACAUCAUACGCAUUGGAUCAGAUCGCGUUUCUUCGAAAAAAUAUCGCGAAAGUGCAGACGCUCGAAAGAAUCACGUUAUGCAACUAUUCGAUCGACGCGACUCGCAUAGAACGAGGAAAGAAUGAGAAAAGAACGAGGAAAGAACGCCCCGCACGAGUCUAUCGGAUCUGUUAGAAACUUCAUGAAGGAUUCUACGUACGUUCCCAACAACGCAGGGAUGCGUCUAUCCUUGAAAGCCAUAAAUAUUCAACCGGUAUACUAUUUCAAACGAUGUACGUAAUACGGUACGUAAACGUCGCGAGAAUCCUAAAAGAGUAAAACCCAGAGAUACGUCGAAAAGAAAAAGAGAAAAAACAAAAGACUAUAAUUUUUCUUCGAGAAAUAUCCUGACGGGACUACUCUUAUCGCAAAACAAACGAAAGUAUUUCUUUGGCAUUUCGUUGGGCAUUCUUUCAGGAUUGAGCACCUCUGAUCCCAGAAGGAAAAAUCAAGGAAAGAAGACUCGUUUCUAGAAUAAAACGAGUACGAACGAAGAUACAUACGUUUACGUAUACAUACGUGAGUGGAAAAAGAAAAGCAUCUACGCCUUUUUCUAGAUACUCGAGAGAUUCCAUACGACGUGCGGUAGCAGCACGUCGUCGAAUACGACGCAUGGCCUUAGCCUAGUUGCAGAAAAGGCCGUUCGCUGGACACGAUGAUGGCUACCACCACUACUAUCGCACGAUCAUUAUCGACGAUGACGACGACGACGACGACGACGACGAGGAGGAGGAGGAGGAGGAGGAGCAGGGAGGGGAGAAGAAGGAGGAAAAGGAGGUUUAAGUAAAUCAACUAAUCAGUACCACGCUGAUGUCCCGCGUACGAGUUCGUGCUCUCCGACUUAUUUACUGGGAUAAACCGGCUGUUUAGACGGCAUCGUACAUGUCGUUUGAAAGACGAUGCUUCCAAGACCCUACACGACGAAAGAACGACUCCUAGACUCUUCAUUCUUAUAUUUCCUUCUUUAUUCUUCUCUCAUCUUUGUCAUUCUCUUUUCCGAUUUCAUUUUUCUUUCUUUUUUUUUUUUUUUUCCAAGCCCUUCCUUACGAUAAUAAUUGCGAGAUCAUUCGUUAGUCGCUGAUAACAAUGACGUUUUACAUGACAACGUGAUUUCGAUCGAAUCGCAUUAUUCGAAAACGAACAAACGAUAUCGACAAUGCAAAUAAAGUCAGACUUUACGUAACGCCCCGUUGAAACUAGGCGUCGCUGCUAAAGCCGCGAGACGAACGGGAGGCGUUUUUAAAAGAAAGAAGAAGGAAAAGAAAAAUGAAGAAAAAAAAAAAAGAGAGAGAAAAAAAGAAAAAAGGAACGAAAAAUGCCAGGCCCAACGACCUCCUUUUUUUUUCUUUUUCUUACGCGAUAAAAAAACACCCGUUCGAAGGAGAGUAAGAUUCGUGAUGACGUCCGUCAAAUUUCGCGAUAUUUCGGAGCAAAAAAGUGAAUGAUCAUAUCGACGAGAUUCCUUCGAUCCCGAUCGAUCGAUCGAUCGAUCGAAAAAAAGAGGAAGAACGAUAAUGCGCGAGCUUACGUAAAUGUUUCUCCUUUCUAAAGAAGCUUCGGAUAUGCAUCUCUCUUUUCCUUUUGUCACGUACAAUGCUUUCGCCAUACAAACAUCGAUCGUUUUAAUUCUAACACAUUUGUACAUCCUUUCUUUUUUUUCUUCUUUUCUUUCUUUUGUUCCUUUUGUUCUCUUUCGCUUGUUUCGAUUAAACUUCGAACGUUUAAUCGUACUUCUUUCCGAAGGAAAAUAUUCAAGUACGUUCGUCGUUAACGAUCAACUAGUUAUUAUUGCGAUUGAUUCGCAAAGACAAACUAACUGAUUAAGAGCAAUAAUUAAAAAAUUGAUCACUCUCUCUUGACGUAAGAAGGUCGAUGUGAAGUCAAAUUAUGUUAUCGUUAGAGAAAUUUCUCGAACGUUGAACGAUCGUUUAGAUAAAAUUCAUAAGACCGCGCGAUGACUCGGUGGAUUCGCCAUGAUUUCCGGGAACGUCUUGUUUCUUACAUUGGAACUUGACACUCCUUGCCUGGAAGGAAGGCCACUCAGAGAAAAAGAGAAAAGGAGAAAGAAAAAAGAAAGAAAGGAGGAGAGCGAGAAGAGGCCCGAACGUACAAGCCGAACGCGUGCGUGACGUUAUCGGCGAUGUGCUAAAGUCUCUCGUGGAGGCUGCCGUUGCUUCUGUCUCGUCGUUAAAGAGUACGUCCUUGACCAGUCGACAGGACGUACAAAUGGACCGUCUGACGACACCGACGGCGACGGCGACGGCGACGGCGAUGGCGACGGCGGCGCCGACGACGACGACGACGACGACGACGACGACAAACCUAAAAGGGGGCAAACCAGCAAGAGGGAACAACGGGCGAAAGACGACGUAAUACAAGGCAAUUGGCCUUGCGAGGUGAACGUACUAGCGAACGAUUCGACAAGUAUGACGAUGUGAAGAGAGAAUAAGAAGGAGCUCUUCUUCUCUGCUCUUUCCACGCACACACUUAGGCGAACGCAACGAUUUCGACGUCUGAAUGUAUUUUAAGAAGCCGACCGACGCAGGACUUAUCUUUAAUGACUCGCAGGGUCGAAAGUGCAACGCGUCCUCGAGUUAUAUAAAACCCUAUACCGUCUGAAAUCUUUCCUCGGUUGGGAUAUCUCUUCGAAGACAAACAGACGCACACAACGAUCUUGGGCCUUUAUCUUCUCACGCAACCAAUUUACAUCUCGGUUGGAAACGAUCGCUUGUUGCUGACGGCCUACAAAAGGAGAAAAGAUCGAUCGAUAAAAAAGGGUUUACGCUCAGAGGAGGGAGAGGAGGAGAAAGAGAAGGGAAGGACGGAUGGAGUUUGCGAGAGAGGUUGGUUGCCAAGAGGGUCGCGAGAGGAGGACCAUGAGAGAGAGAGAGAGAGAGAGGAAAAUAGAAAGAGAAGAAUGAAGAGAAUCGAAGGUGGAGAGAUUUCUUCCUCUCCGUCGUGGGAUGGCGUCGAAGAGUGCGGAGUAUCUAGGUCUGUGUAACGAUUUUUAGAAUCCCGACCCUCCCGACAAUCGUCCAGUACGCCAUAAAAAACUUGAGCCACCCCGCAGCGAGGGUUUCCAUAGCGACCAAGCCCUUUCGCACCACCCCCCCUUCCUCCUCCUCCUCCUCCUCCUCUUCCCCCUUCUGUCAUUGACCUAUACUAUUCUCUCUAUUUCUUUUCUCUCAUAUGAUUUGUAUUUAUUUUUAAUCUAAUAAAUUCUUCAAAUUAAUUAAACGUUAUAAACGACGAAGCACACCUUAUAUCCGUAUACCGUUUCAAAUUUGUACUUUACUUUGAAGAAAUUCAAAAGAGAUAAUUAAAAGGCAACAUGAAGAAAAAUAAUGAAGAGAUUUAGAUUACGAUAAGAGAAAUUAAAAGUAAAAUAAAAAAGGAA